AGCUGCGGCAGAGGCUUACCAGCUGCAGAUACCCAGCACCUGAAAUCCAGUGUUUGCAUAAAGAUAACAAAGAGACAGUUAUCACUCAAAAACAGCCUGCAAAGCAAAUUGCCAAAAUACAGAAAUACAAGUUUUCAGUGGAUAAUGCUGGUCCA